GACGAACGCUGGCGGCGUGCUUAACACAUGCAAGUCGAACGGAAAGGCCCUGCUUUUGUGGGGUGCUCGAGUGGCGAACGGGUGAGUAACACGUGAGUAACCUGCCCUUGACUUUGGGAUAACUUCAGGAAACUGGGGCUAAUACCGGAUAUGAGCUCCUGCUGCAUGGUGGGGGUUGGAAAGUUUCGGCGGUGGGGGAUGGACUCGCGGGUUAUCAGCUUGUUGGUGGGGUAGUGGCUUACCAAGGCUUUGACGGGUAGCCGGCCUGAGAGGGUGACCGGCCACAUGGGGACUGAGGUACGGCCCAGACUCCUACGGGAGGCAGCAGUGGGGAAUAUUGCACAAUGGGCGGAAGCCUGAUGCAGCAACGCCGCGUGCGGGAUGACGGCCUUCGGGUUGUAAACCGCUUUCGCCUGUGACGAAGCGUGAGUGACGGUAAUGGGUAAAGAAGCACCGGCUAACUACGUG
rnacentral:rRNA from 1 species